UGCUUAUGUUUGGGUAAAGUGAUCACAAGGUGUUCGAUAUAAUACCCGAGAGAGUUUCCACAGGUGUUUCUGAUUUUUUUUCUCAGUUUGAGUGAGCUGGAUCUUCCAGGAUGAAGACGAUGAUCUUGGAUGUUUGCAAUGAGAUUAUAAACAUAAAUAAAUCAUUACAUUAUUAUAGUUUAGAGAUGCUUUUAUUCUUAUACUGCAAAUUGUAGUGGUUUUAAUAAUCAAGAUGUGAUCAUUACAUAAUUGUAAUUUAGGGAGGCCUUUAUUCUCAUACUGCAAAUUGUAUUGGUUUUAAUAAUCAAGAUGUGGUUUAGUGGUUACCAACCUAAUUGAUUCUUUCAAAAAAAAAAAAAAAACUAUUUGCACAAACAAAAAUUAAUCAAUACAUAAUUUUAUAUUAGGGAUGCUUUUCAUAGUUUUAUACUGCAAAUUGUAUUAGCCCAAUAAAUAAAAUGUCUCAGCUCGGCCCAAAAGAAGCUGGACAAUACACGGCCUUAUUGAUGUUCUAACCAUUUGCUUUUCCCAUUGCAUAUUUCGCGAGAGGUUCUUAAUUGUCGGAAGACGUGCUUAUGUUUGGGUAAAGUGAUCACAAGGUGUUCGAUAUAAUACCUGAGAGAGUUUCCACAGGUGUUUCUGAUUUUUACUCAGUUUGAGUGAGCUGGAUCUUCCACGAUGAAGACGAUGAUCUUGGAUGUUUGCAAUGAGAUUAUAAAGAUCCAGAAGCUAAGACGGGCUGUCUCUUACGCUGGAUUCUACUGCUUCACUGCAGCCCUCACAUUCUUCUACACAAACAACACG
rnacentral:lncRNA from 1 species